UACGGAGGGUGCUAGCGUUGUUCGGAAUUACUGGGCGUAAAGGGCGCGUAGGCGCCGUUUGCGUCGGAUGUGAAAGCCCGGGGCUCAACCUCGGAACGGCAUUCGAUACGGGACGGCUGGAGACCGGGAGAGGAGAGUGGAAUAGCCAGUGUAGAGGUGAAAUUCGUAGAUAUUGGCUGGAACACCGGUGGCGAAAGCGGCUCUCUGGCCCGGUUCUGACGCUGAGGCGCGAAAGCGUGGGGAGCAAACAGG
rnacentral:rRNA from 1 species